CAAAAUCUAAAAAGGUCCUUGUUAUAAUUUUAGAGUAAAUGGUGUAUAUUUUUUAUUUUGAAAAAUUAAAAGGAUAUUUACAUCAAGAUCCCCCAUUAAAUAAAAUGAAAUCUUUCUUUUUAUCGACAGACAUUGAGCCCUAAUUGCAGACCUCGCAUUGCGUUGCAUUCCAGACUAUCGCCGACAUUUCCCGGUUGUUCCUAGCCAUCUAGUUUUCCACCUCUAUCGUCGUUUAAUUUUAGCUAUCUUGGAUUUUGGUUUGUUCCUCUAUAUCUCUAUUUUUAUUUUUUUUUAUACAUGUUAAAGGGCAAUGAGUAGAACGUAAUCGAACUUUUAUACUCCUAAGAUGAAAAUCCACAUGAACUCCCAUGUAGAUCCUUCAAUGCCAUUUUCCAUUUUUUUCAAGUUCUUAUUUUGAUUUGAUUUCAUCAUUUUUUCUUGGUUUUGAUUGCUAUUAUAAUUUUUUCUUGGUUUUAAUUGACUCACGAUGUAUAUUUUUUUCUCUCUAUUGUUUUAGCUGUCCAAUGUUUUCUCAUUUUUAUUUUAGCAUUAGUAUUCAGUAUAGGAAAUAGGGGGGUUUUUAAAUAAUUCUGAAUUUCUGAUACCCAGAGCCACAUCUUAUUUGUUUUAAACUGUGACGAAAAUUUCUCUGCACUCAAUUCAGAUUCCUAAUACCUGUUUAUGUGUUUAUAAAAUAUAUUGUAUACUUUUCAUUAAUAUUAGGUUUCAAUUUUGAUUUUCUUUUUGCAUUGAUUUUGUUUAAUGCAAUAACAUCAUCUUCAUUUUUUAACAUUAUAAAAUACUCUUUGUUCUGAAUUAUUUCCAAGCCAUAAUGUUAAGGAUCGUGUUCUUUU
rnacentral:lncRNA from 1 species